rnacentral:rRNA from 1 species
UACGAAGGGGGGCUAGCGUUGUUCGGAAUUACUGGGCGUAAAGGGCGCGUAGGCGGCGUGUCAAGUCAGGCGUGAAAGCCCCGGGCUCAACCUGGGAACCGCGCUUGAGACUGGCAUGCUCGAGUUCGGGAGAGGAUGGUGGAUUCCCAGUGUAGAGGUGAAAUUCGUAGAUAUUGGGAAGAACACCGAUGGCGAAGGCAGCCAUCUGGACCGACACUGACGCUGAGGCGCGAAAGCGUGGGGAGCAAACAGG